rnacentral:lncRNA from 10 species
CCUAUCCCUAUUGCUUGUUUUCAUUGACCUUGUCGAAAAUCAGAUGGUUGUAAGUGAGCAGCUUUAUAUUUUAGUUUUCUAUUCUGUUCCAUUGGUCUAUGUGUCUGUUUUUGUAUCAGUACUAUGCUGGUUUUUCACGGUAGCCUUAUUGUUUGAAGUUGAUAGUGUGAUGCCUCCAGCUUUGUUCUUUUUGCUUAGGUUUGCAUUGGCUAUUUGGGCUCUUUUUUGCUUCCACAUAAAUUUUAGAAUAGUUUUCCUAAUUCUGAUAGUUUGAUAGGAAUAGCAUUGAAUCUGUAAAUUGCUUUGGGCAGUAUGGCCAUUUUAAUGAUAUUGAUUUUUCAUUAUCAUGAAACAUUAAAACAUUCCAUGAGUAUGGAAUGUUUUCCCACUUAUUUGUGUCACCUGAUUUCUUUCAGCAUUGUUUUCUAGUUCUCCUUGUAGAGAUUUUUCACCUUCUUGGUUACCUGUAUUCUCAGGUGUUUCAUUUUCUUUGUGGUUAUUGUAAAUGUGAUUGUGUUCUUAAUAUGACUCUCAGCCUGGAUGGUAUUGGCACAUAUAAAUGGUACUGAUGUUUUCUACAUUGAUUUUGUAUCAUGGAACUUCGCUAAAAUCAUUUAUUAGUUCCAGUAGCCUUUCUCCUGCUUGACUGCUCUGGCUGUGACUUCCACUACUAUGUUGAAUAUGAAAUGGUCAGAGUGCUUGCCUUUUUUUCAGUUCUACAGGGGAGUGGUUCCAGCUUUUGCCCAUUCAGUAUAAUGUUGGCUCUGGGUUUGCUAUAGACAACCCUUAUUAUUUUGAGUCAUAUUAUUUUGAUGCCUAGUUUGUUGAGGGUUUUUAUCAUGAAGUCACGUUGAAUUUUAUUGAAAGCUUUUCUGCAUUUUCUUAGAUGAUCAGAUGGUUUUUGUGUUUAAAUCUGCUUAUGUGGUGAAUCAUAUUUAUUGAUUUGCAUAUGUUGAUCCAACCUUGCAUCCCAGGAAUAAAGCCUACUUUAUCAUGGUGAAUUAACCGUUUUAUAUGCUGCUGGAUUCAGUUUACCAACAUUUGAUUGAGAAUUUUUUGUCUACGUUCAUCAUGGACAUUGGCCUCAAGUUUUCUUUCUUGACUGUGUUUCUGCCAGAGAUUGAGUUUGAAAGGAUUCCCUCCUUUUUUUGGAAUAGCUUCAGUAGAACUGGUACCAGGUUUUCUUUAUACAUCUGGUAGAAUUUGACUGUGAAUCCAUCUGGUCCAGGACUUUUUUGGUUGGUGGUAGUUUUUUUUUUUUAAUUACAUAUGAUUCAAUUUCAGAGUGAGAUAUUUCUCUAUGCAAAGCUUCAAUCUUUUCCUGAUUCAAUUAGAGACUGUGUGUUUCUAAGAAUUUAUCAAUUUCAUCUACAGAUUUUCUAAUUUUUAUGCAUAGAGUUGUUCAUGGUAUUCUAUGGGAAACUUUUGUAAUUCUGUGGGAUCAGUUAUAAUAUUAUCUUUGUUAUUUCUGACUGUACUUAUUUGGAUCUUCUCUUUUUUUCAUUGUAAAUCUAGCUGUUAAACAGCAGUCUAUCAAUCUUGUUCAUCUUUUCAAAGAACAAACUCUUGCUUUUUUUAUUUUUUUCUAUGGAUUUUUGUAUCUCAAUUUCAAUAAGUUCUCUGAUUUUAGUUAUUUCUUUUCUUCUGUUAGCUUUUUCUUUUCUAGUUCCUUUAGGUGCAAAGUUAGAUUGCUAAAUUGAGAUAUUUCUAACUUCUCGAUUAGUGCAUGUAGGGAAAUAAACUUUCCUCUUAACACUGCUUUGGCUGCAUCUCAAAGAUUUUGGAGCUACCCCAGGACCAGUAACACUGUUGUUUUUGAAGAUUCAUAGAGGAACCGCCUUGAUUUUCUUGAUCAAGAUCUGGAAGAAUUAUCUCAAUUGCCAGGCCCAGGAGAUUGUGGACCAAGGUCAAGGCCUAGUGAAAAAGAGCGCAGUGAGGAGCUUGACUCCGUUGUGGUUAAGAGGAAAAAUUAUUAGCAUUUUAACAAUAUUUGGACUGUUUCUAGAUUGGAGGUAUUUUGAAUGAAGCUGCUGUGAAUAUUCAUGAACAAUGUACAAGUUUUUGUAUGGACAUAUGCUUUCUUUUCCUUUGCUUGAAUGCCUAAGUGUGAAAUGGCUGGAUCACAUGGUACAUACAUGCCUAAUUUUUAAAGAAGCAAUCAAACCACUUUUGAAAUAGUAGUAAUAUUUCACAUAACCAACCAUAGUGUAUAAAACUGCAGAAGUUCCACAACAUUAGCAACACUUGGUGUCAUCAGUCUUGAACUUUGAACAUUCUAGUAAGUGUGUAGUGGUACAUUUGUAAAUUUUGCGUCUAAUAAAUUAUAUACUGUAAUUUAAUUUCUAUUUCCCUAAUGACUAAUGAGAUUAAGCAUCUUUUCAUGUGCUUAUUUGUCAUUUUUAUUUAUAUCUGAUUUAGUGAUGUCUCUGUUAACAUUUUGCCAAUCAUUUUAUCAGGUUAUUAUCAUACCUUUAAAGUAUUUUAUGGAAUCUGAAUACAAAAAUCUUUAUUAAACAUGUGACUUAAAAGUUGCUUCCUUAACUUUGUGGCUUGACUUUUCAUUCUCUUAAUGCUUUUCAAAAGGCAGGAGUUUUUAUUCUUAAAGAGUUUAAUAUAUAUGUACACAUAUAUAAGUACAUGUCUUUACACACACACAUAUAAGUAUGUAAUUUUUAAUUUUAUGGAUCAUGAUUUUUGGUGUCAUAAGUAGAAAUACUUAACUCAAAAAUUUCUUUUCUACAUUUUCUUCAAGUUUCAAAUUUUACAUUUAGGUACAGGAUCUCUUUUAAAAUAAUUUUUCUAUACAGUGUUAAACAUAGAUUGAAAUUGCUAGUUCAAUAUUUUAUUUUCAAACGUGUAUCUAAUUAUUCUAGCACAAUUUGUUGAUAAGAUUAUACUUUCUCCAAUUAAACGAGUUGACCAUAUAUGUGUGGCAAUAUUAUGGGAUGCUCCAUUCUGUUCCAUUGAUUGGUUAGUAUAACUUAAGGCCACUAUCAUUUUAUCUUGAUAACUGUGGCUUUAUAAUAAACCAUGGAAUGAAGUCAUUUUAGUUCUCCAACUUCAUUCUUCUUUUUCAAAGCUAUUUUAGCUAUUCUGGCUCUUUUACAUUUCCAUUUGAAUUUCAGAAUCAGUUUGUCAAUUCCUACAAAAUGUCUGCUGAGAUAUUGAUCAGAAUUGAACUACAUCAAUAGAUCUAUUGGGGGGACUUGACAUCUUAGCAAUAAUUAGACUUCUAACUCAUGAAUGUGGUAAAAGUCUCCAUUUAUUCGUUUUUUUACCUCAAUAUUUUGUAAUAUUCACAUAUGUUGUAAUAUUUAUACUUAAAUAUUUUGUUGUUGAUGUUAUUAAAAACCAUAUUAUUCUUUACAUUCUAUUCCUUUUUUAUUGCUAGUAUAUAAAAAUACAACUUGU